rnacentral:rRNA from 1 species
UACGGGGGGGGGCAAGCGUUUGUUCGGAAUUACUGGGCGUAAAGCGCGCGUAGGCGGACCUGCAAGUCGGGGGUGAAAGCCCGAGGCUCAACCUCGGAACUGCCUUCGAUACUGCGGGUCUCGAGUCCGGGAGAGGUGAGUGGAAUUCCUAGUGUAGAGGUGAAAUUCGUAGAUAUUAGGAAGAACACCAGUGGCGAAGGCGGCUCACUGGCCCGGUACGUGACGCUGAGGCGGCGAAAGCGUGGGGAGCAAACAGGG